GAUGAACGCUGGCGGCGUGCCUAAUACAUGCAAGUCGAGCGAACAACCAGGGCUUUUGCUGCUCCGAAGUUGGCAACGGGCGGGUGACUCACGCGUAACUUACCUCCCUAACCGGGACAGCUCACUUAAACACAGCGGAAUACCUGCCGGGCAAUCUAUUGAUCCGCAUGGUUCGAUAGUGAAGGACCGUUUUGCUUUCCGUUAUGGGUGGGUCCGCGCCGCAUUAGCUAGUUGGUAAGGUAACGGCUUACCAAGGCAACGAUGCGUAGCCGACCUGAGAGGGUGAUCGGCCACACUGGAACUGAGACACGGCCCAGACUCCUACGGGAGGCAGCAGUAGGGAAUCUUCCGCAAUGGGCGAAAGCGUGACGGAGCAACGCCGCGUGAGUGAUGAAGGCCUUCGGAUCGUAAAACUCUGUUAGGAGGGAAGAACAAAUGGCGAUGUAAAGAUGCACGGCUUGACGGUACCUAAUCAGAAAGCCACGGCUAACUACGUG
rnacentral:rRNA from 1 species